rnacentral:rRNA from 1 species
GACGAACGCUGGCGGCGUGCUUAACACAUGCAAGUCGAACGAUGAACCCGGAGCUUGCUCUGGGGGAUUAGUGGCGAACGGGUGAGUAACACGUGAGUAACCUGCCCUGGACUCUGGGAUAAGCGUUGGAAACGACGUCUAAUACCGGAUAGGACCUUGGAUCGCAUGAUCUGGGGUGGAAAGUUUUUUUGGUCUGGGAUGGACUCGCGGCCUAUCAGCUUGUUGGUGAGGUAAUGGCUCACCAAGGCGUCGACGGGUAGCCGGCCUGAGAGGGUGACCGGCCACACUGGGACUGAGACACGGCCCAGACUCCUACGGGAGGCAGCAGUGGGGAAUAUUGCACAAUGGGCGAAAGCCUGAUGCAGCAACGCCGCGUGCGGGAUGACGGCCUUCGGGUUGUAAACCGCUUUUAGUAGGGAAGAAGGGCUUCGGCUUGACGGUACCUGCAGAAAAAGGACCGGCUAACUACGUG